rnacentral:rRNA from 1 species
ACUCCUACGGGAGGCAGCAGUAGGGAAUCUUCGGCAAUGGACGAAAGUCUGACCGAGCAACGCCGCGUGAGUGAAGAAGGUUUUCGGAUCGUAAAACUCUGUUGUUAGAGAAGAACGUUGCAUAGAGUGGAAAAUUAUGCAAGUGACGGUAUCUAACCAGAAAGGGACGGCUAACUACGUGCCAGCAGCCGCGGUAAU